rnacentral:rRNA from 1 species
UCCAGGCCCUACGGGGCGCAGCAGGCGCGAAACCUUCGCAAUGCGCGAAAGCGCGACGAGGGGAGCCCGAGUGCCCCUCCUUCGGGGGGGGCUUUUCUGGAUCCUAAAAAGCUCCAGGAAUAAGGGCUGGGCAAGACGGGUGCCAGCCGCCGCGGUAAUACCCGCAGCUCAAGUGGUGGCCGCUUUUAUUGAGCCUAAAGCGUCCGUAGCCGGACCCGUAAAUCCCUGGGUAAAUCCUGGCGCUUAACGUCAGGAAUUCCGGGGAGACUGCGGGUCUUGGGACCGGGAGAGGUCGGAGGUACUCCUGGGGUAGCGGUGAAAUGCUGUAAUCCUAGGGGGACCACCUGUGGCGAAAGCGUCCGACUUGAACGGCUCCGACGGUGAGGGACGAAGGCCAGGGGAGCAAACCGGAUUAGAUACCCGGGUAGUCCUGGCUGUAAACGCUGCCCGCUGGGUGUUGCCGGUCUUUCGGGGGCCGGCAGUGCCGGAGCGAAGGUGUUAAGCGGGCCGCUUGGGAAGUACGGCCGCAAGGCUGAAACUUAAAGGAAUUGGCGGGAGAGCACUGCAACGGGAGGAGCGUGCGGUUUAAUUGGAUUCAACGCCGGAAAACUCACCGGGGGCGACCGGUGUAUGUGGGUCAAGCUGACGACUUUGCCCGAAUAAGAACCGGAGAGGUGGUGCAUGGCCAUCGUCAGCUCGUACCAUAGGGCGUUCACUUAAGUGUGAUAACGAGCGAGACCCCCGUCCCCAGUUGCCACCUGUCCCUCCGGGGGCAGAGCACACUGAGGAGACCGCCAGCGCUAAGCUGGAGGAAGGUGGGGUCAACGGUAGGUCAGUACGCCCCGAAUCCCCCGGGCUACACGCGCGCUACAAAGGGCAGGACAACGGGCUGCAACCCCGAGAGGGGAAGCUAAUCCUGAAACCUGUCCGUAGUUCAGAUCGAGGGCUGUAACUCGCCCUCGUGAAGCUGGAUUCCGUAGUAAUCGCGCCUCAACAUGGCGCGGGGAAUGCGCCCCUGCUCUUUGCACUCACCGCCCGUC